CAUCCCUAUCGUCCUCCCUGCCUGGGUUUAGGGAAGGUGGGACAUAACCUGUCUCCUGUUCUCCCAGACACAGGGCCCAGUCUCUGGAAUGUAUUGCAUUGUGUGGAGGUGGGUGCUCUCCCAUAGAGGCACACCAGCUUUCUGGGACCCAGGUAACCUGACCUGCCCAGUCAGCAGGGGUGGCCAAGAGUUAUUUUUUUAUGAGGUGUGUUUACGUUUUAUUUCUCUUUUCUGUUGUAUUGUUCUUUGAACUACUUAGGUUAAAAAGUAAGAAACAGAAAGGAAAAAAAAAACCACAAAUACCUAUUUUUGGUUACACUCAGAAACAUUUUUUUAAAUAGCAGAAGAAAAACUUUUUUUAAAGAAAAAAAAAAAAGGUUAAGUGUAUUCUUUAAAAAAUGAGGUUAGAACAUAAAGUCCCUGACCCCAAAUCCUCUAGGGAUUCCCACCCUGAACUCUAGAGAAUUAGCUAAAAGGUAGAAUUUGUGGCGUUUCAUUAGAAACCCAGACUCUUGUCCAAGUGGACUUGGGAAGGGCAGUCUGUCCCUUCUCUCAAAUGGUAGGUGGAUUCUAGGGCUCUUCCCACUCUGAGCCAGUGUCCUCUGUCCCCAAGUUGCUUCUCUGUGGCAUCCCAUUUUUCUUUGGUCAGAGAGGCUAGGGGAGAGGGGGCUGGCAGCCUCUUUGGCCUGACUUGGUUGGGUUUGUCACAGUGGAUUCAUUUUAACUGAAUAAAAGUACUGUUGCCAAAG
rnacentral:lncRNA from 1 species